GAAGAAUGGGAUGUAUUCCAAGAAUUUUGGCUCAAUAUCAAAUGGAUCGCUGUUCAGAAGAAGUGAAUCAACUUGUUAUGCCUUUUAAUGCAAAUGUGAAGACUAUGAUUAACAAUCUUAAUGCCAAUCUUCCUGGUGCAAGAUUCACCUUCAUUGACAUUGCCCGCAUGUUUGAAGAUCUCCUCACCAAUUAUAGAUCAUACGGUAUGCAAUUUUCCCACUAAACAUAUCGUAUUGUAGUUAGAUAUGAUGUGUGCUGUCUAGCCUAAAAUCUUUUAUUUUAAAAUGUGCGGACACUGACAAAAGAUAAUAAAGAUUUCGUCCUCAUAUUUUAAAAUCAAGGAACAAUUUACAGUGGCUGAACUAGGAUUUUGAUUUGACAAGCACGGCCUAGAGGUGGAAAUAACGGAGAAAUUAUCGUCUUGUAGCCUUGCUAUGCUACAAUAAAAGCAAGACAUUUCAAAAUUAAAUUUAAAUAAGUGCAUAAAAUAAGCAAAAUUUUACUUAAUAGAAUAAUGUUUAUGAUCACUUUUUUUUAAUCCCAAAUAAUUCUACAGGAUUCAGUGUAAUAGAUCGAGGGUGCUGUGGCAUUGGACGAAACGGAGGCCAAAUUACAUGUCUUCCAUUCCAAACACCAUGUGCAAAUCGAGAACAAUACGUUUUCUGGGAUGCAUUUCACCCAACAGAAGCUGUGAACAUUAUGUUUGGAAGAAAAGCUUUCUAUGGUGACCAGAGCGUUGUUUAUCCCAUGAACAUCCAGCAGCUUGCCAGUUUUUAAACUUAGAAAUUAAAGGGACAUAUAUGUUAUUGUAAUGUUUCUUGCUUGCUUAAUUGCUUUGCAUAAUUAGCCACCGGUGUCUCGUCUGUCCAUGUGAGUUUUUACUUGUUUAAUUUGCUUGUGGGAAGUUUAUGUAAUCAAAGAACAAGUUGUGAUUGUGUUUUAUUGUGUUGCUAGUGGUUCAGUAAUUGGAACUACUUCGAUUAUGUUUUGGUAAUUGAUUUUGCUAGUUUACUAGUGCUUCAGUAGGAUUUUUCUUUUUUUAAAUUAUUAACUUAUGCAUCUAUUGAAAUCUGAACUCAAAACUUAAGCCCCAGAGAAAUUGCUUGUUACUGUUGGAAUUAGACUUGACUUUCGUAGUUUAUUAAUCAACUUGCUUGCUAGGUAGCCUUGCCAUAUGAUAUGGUUUGCUAUCUUAUGGGUGGUGAUGUUUCCCUUGCAAUAGCCCUCGCAUCUGUGUAAGGACAUCCAUCUAACUUCAUUGAUAUUUUUGGAAGUUAAACUUUCAUCCUUAAUUUGAAUGAUUGAAAGAUAAUAUAUAAUUUCAGCCUCGGUUGAUUAAAAAAGGGUAGAUUUAAAAGAGAGAUUGAUUCAAAACGAUUAAAUUAAACGUUCAAAUUUUUUUAUAAAAAAUGCAAGAUAUCCGCAAACUGUCUAAAAUACAAUCCUUUAAUAAAUAAUAUUUUAAAUAAGGAGAUUAUGGGUGGACCAAAAGUCCAUGUACCAAGCCCAAGCAAACGCGCAGAUUUAACAACCUGUUUGGAGCAGCUGUGUUACCAAAUUAUUUAUAGGUUUGGGUGGGUUACAAACAGUGGCGAAGCUUGCAUCAUUUGUUUGGGUGGGCUAGAUUUAAACAAAAAAAUGAAAUUUACUUCUCAAAAAAUUUGUUUUAUAUAAAUGAAAUUAAGCACACUACAUAAGUAAAAAUUUAACCAUAAAACUAUAAAAAUACAAUGUAAAUAAGAAAAACACUAUUGACGAAGCUGUGUCCUGCGAUUCUUCAAAAAAGAAAAUUCAUCUACUAUCGCAUCUGAGUCAAUAUUGUCUGCAAUUUCUCUUUCAAUGUAAAUAACCAUACAAUCUGAAAGAAACUCAUUCUCCAUCUUGUUUCGAUGUGUUNNNNNNNNNNNNNNNNNNNNNNNNNNNNNNNNNNNNNNNNNNNNNNNNNNNNNNNNNNNNNNNNNNNNNNNNNNNNNNNNNNNNNNNNNNNNAAGAAGACGAUGGCGAUACCACAAAAUGCACCUACCCACUCAAUUUCUCAACGCAAUCGGUAACCAAUACGUUGGGAAGACGAUGGCAAGAUGACGAUGGUUGAUUUUGGUAAGAUGAUGGCAAAAAGAAAGUCAAUAUAAGAGGGUAAGACGAUGGCAAGAUGACGACGGCCGAGAUUUUAGCCUUACCCUAAACUCUCUGUAUGUUUGUGAGUUGUAUGUGUUGAUACUUAUAAAAAAUUAGGGAUUGAAGAAGUGAAACUCAGCACCAAAACGGUGCGUUUCAUUUUUUUAAUUUUAUUUUAUAAUAAAAAGUUUUAAAAAUAUAAUAUUUUAUAUUUAUGUACAAAACGUCGUCGUUCCAACUUCGCUAAAACGACGACGUCUCUUCCUUCGUGUAAUAUUUUAUUUUAAAUAACACCAAAAGUUUCGGUAAAAAACGCGCCAAAAUUAAGUCAACGUUAAAUUUCUAUUCAGACUUAUUGACGUUUAAAUUUAUAUCACAAAGACAUCAUAUAUUCUUGACUGACUCUUUUUCUAUCACGAGUCCAUCACAAAUCCAUCAUGAAUAUAUGAUAACCAAAAAUAUAUCACAACUAUAUCAUGCUUUUAUGACCCAUGCAGAAUCCGUCAACAAGCGUGUGUCAUCUAUUGCCAGUUUUCUUGUAGUGUCUACCAACUUCCCAAGAACUUUACGAACAACACUAAACAAAUCAAGCAACCUACUGACAGAACGGAAAUGAGAGCUCCACCGAGUAGCUCCAGGCCGUUGCAAAGUAUGAAUUUGAUUGGCCCCUGUACCAGUUUGAACUUCUCCUGAAGCUAUCAAAUCUAUUAUUUCUGCUUCCCAAACAGAUUUUAACUCAGAAAGCCGUUUAGCAGAUGAAGUCAGAACAUUUACAAUUGAACCCAAUGCUGAAAAGAAAAGCCAUACAUCUGGCACAUCAUUAGAUGCUGCAACUAAAGCAAGUUGUAGUUGAUGUGCAAAACAGUGUAUAUAAUAUGCAUAUGGGCAAUCUUUCAAAAAUAAUGCUUGCAAUCCAUUCCAUGCACCUCGCAUGUUACUAGCACCAUCAUACCCUUGCCCUCGGAUAUUUUCAACUAAAAGAUCAUAUCGUGCAAGAACAUUACAUAUUUCUUUUUUCAAUGUUACUGCUGUAGUUUCCAUGACAUUGACAACUUCAAAAAAACGUUCUCGAAUAUACCCAUCACAAUCAACAUACCUUAAAAUAAUAGCCAUUUGCUCUUUAUCAGAUUCAUCAAGUGCUUCAUCUACUAAAAUACAAAACUUACCAUCUCCAAGUUCCCUGUGUAUCUUGUUUCGCACUUUGUUUGCAAGAAUAUUUAAAAGCUCUUUUUGAAUGUCAGACGAUGUAUACUUAGCAUAUGAUGGAGCAUUUUCCAAGACAACUUGAGCAAUUUCUUUACUAUACUCCGCUGAAUGCUUUAUCAACUCUAUGAAAUUUCCCCGAUUUCUUGAAUUAACUGAUUCAUCAUGACCUCUAAAAGCACAUGCUUGCUUUGCUAACCAUUUAACAGCAAUAAUUGAAGUCUUCAAUCGUAACCUAUUCUCCAAAAGUUGUUGUGAAGUUUGGGCAUUAAUUAAUCUAUCAAUGUGUUGAAUUGGGUUCCUCAAACAACCCCAACUUUGCAUAUUCUUAUUAUGAUGAGAAGAUGGACCCCCUUCAUGCUGUAAAAAAGGACAUUUUUUUCCAUUGUCGACUCUCUUCCAACUAGAAAACCCUUCAAUAACAAAUUUUGGGUUGUUUGAUGGAAUUUCAUAAAAAAGAAAGCAUGGAAAACAAAAUGCACUAUCUUUUACCUCAGAGUACUCAAGCCAUGGAAAUUUUUUAAACCAGUGAUACUGAAACCUACGUUCUUGCAUGCCAUCAUUAGUUAGUGGAUAGUCUCGUAGUUUAGGCUGAUAAGGUCCCAUUUUGAUGUACUCCCUUCAAAUAUCAUCACGUUGAUUUACUGAAUAUGUCCCUAUUUGAUGACGUAAUCUAGGAUCACGCUCCAGAUAAGUAUUUCUAGUUUCUUCAACUUCAACCCUUUGAAACUUGGAAGCAUGUUGCUCACUAGAAUCUUGAGCAUUAACUUGACAUGGAGAUAAAGACUUGGUGGAUGAUUGAUUUUCACCUACUCUCUUAAAAAAAGAAAGUAGAGUUUUUCUUGGUUUAUUUAUCAUUGAAUCUGUAAUAAAAUACAUUAAAAAUUUAGUAUUUAUUUUAUAAAAAAUUGACAAAACCGUAAGUUAAAAGCUAAUUAAAAAAAGUCAGCAUUCAAAUUAAUUAUUUUACUAUUUUGAUCACUUAUUCUUUCAUGCCAUCAUUAUUUUAUAAUCCCAAGAAGAUGAAUCAGCACCUUUUACAAGUUCCACUUUAUAUGCUAUCAUCAUUAUUUGUCAUAUUCUAUUAUUUUAUAAUUUUAGAAAGAUGAAUCACAGUUCUCAGUUCACAAAAUCGACAACUUCUCUUCCACAAUUCCACUUUGUGUGCCAACCAUCAUUAUCAUAAAAUCAUAUUAUAUUCUGUAAACUAAAGUUUAAAAGGCAAAGUGCUUUGUACCAGCGGUUGCAUCAAGAGACUGGGCAUUCGGCGUUGGCUCGGCGGUGAGAGAUUUAGCCUCCGGGUGCGGGUCUUGCGACAGUGGCUCGGCAUCACUCAUGAGGCAGUGGCUGGGCAUCAAUUCGAGCGCAGGAGACUGGGUAUUCAGCAGCAGUAAGAGACUUGAGCAAUUGAAUUUUGGUGAAUUUCAAAUUCGUAUUUAGUUACUAGUGAGUUUUAUGAAUUGUGAUUUGGGGAAAAUAAGGAUUCCUAUAAUUAUUAGGUUUGUUUUUUUUUAUAAAUAUUAAUAAAAAUAAAUUUAUAAAUUAUAAUUUUUUUUUUCAAAAAGCUUACCCGGGCUGCAGCCCGGGUUAGCCUUCCCUGAGCUUCGCCUCUGGUUACAAAAACUCAAUCACAAAAAUAAAUCGUAAAACCCGUUUUAGAAUUGUAUCCUUCUUUAAAAUUACACUAUAGGACAAAAUUAAAUCUCGUUAAACCCAGCUUAAACAAUUCUUUCACCGAUAAUUUUUCUCCUGUACACAUUUACUUGUGUUAUCUUAAAGUUUACAUGAAAAUUAUUGAACCUCAAAAUACAACUACAGAAAAAUCUCAAAAGUCCGUAACAACCCUGUCAAAAAUCAAAAUAGGGACCUUGCUAGAAGAUCAUUCCCCGUCAAAUUCCCUUGAAACUUGAGUGGAUAUAUGAUCGAGCAAAAUAGAGAAAAAAAAAUCAGUUUCAGCUUUAAAGUUGUUGUGAACUAGGUACUUAGAGGAGUGCCAAUAGUCCAACUUAGUUCAUAUUUAUUUAGAUUUGAGAUGAAAAAAUAAAUGCCACAAAAUAAACUUAAAUGUUGAAAACUAAUUCUAACCCAACCUGAAUAGAUUUUUAUUGGAAUUUUUUGGUUUAAGUUACUCCAUGGUUUUAGAGUGGAGCUUCUAACAUCCCAUUAAAACUCUUAAGAAACACUACUUAUUCAUUUUUAUAUCUAUUUUUUAUGAAAUUACAAAAAAGUCUACAGGAUUACAAUAGAGUUUUAAUUAAACUUCAGUAUCGGUUGUUCUCUUUUGGAGGUAAGCUAGUACUCAUUCGGCAUGUGCUUUCAUCUAUGUCGCUUCAUCUUUUUCAUGUCCUACGGCCGCCUGCUACGGUCAUUCAGAUCCUUGAGAGGUUAUUUACAAGAUUCUUAUGGAGUGAUACGGAUUCUCGGUAGCGCAUUCAUUGGUGCAAAUGGCCAUCUGUCUGUUUUCCAGUGGCGGAGGGUGGUCUUGGAGUUCGUUCCUUUUCUAAUUUGGCCGAUGCUUUCGAGAUGAAGCGAUGGUGGCGAUUACGGGACCAACACUCACUUUGGGCUUCUUUCAUGAAAUCUAAAUAUUGUAGAAUUGAGCAUCCAAGUAUGGUUCAAUUUCGCUAUCUUGCAUCUCUUCUGUGGAGAAGAUUAUGAUCUAUUCGUUGUAUUGUUGAACCUCAUAUUCGUUGACUGGUUAGAUUGGGUGAUAGUAGUUUCUGGUAUGAUUGCUAGCUUGAAUCUACGCCUCUCUUUCAUUUUAAUCCUUCAGUAGCUUCUAUGGCCCCAAUAUCUUCUUUUUGGUGUGGUGUGGAUUGGGAGAAGGGGAAGCUUUUAUCAGUACUGCCAUCUUUAGUUGUUGAACAAAUUUUGUUAGUACCUAUUUCUGGUACUGGGCCAGAUAUACUUUGUUUGGCAAUAUUUAGGGAUGGGAAUUUUUCUCUAAGGAAUAAUUGGGAAUUUGUACGUGGAUCCCGUAGCCAGAAUGAGGUUUUUUCUUUAAUUUGGCAACGACAUAUUCCUUCGCGGGUUUCCUUUUUCUUGUGGUGUUUAUUGAAUGGUUUCUUGGCCACGGAUGAUGCUUUGUACUUGAGGGGUUUUCACAUGGUUUUUCGAUGUCUUUGUAAUUGAGAUGUUGAGAUUGUCAGACACUUAUUUUUGGAUUGUCCAGUGGUUCAACAGGUUUGGCGGUGGUUUUACUCAAUGAUUGGUUGUCCGUAUCUUCCUUUUUUGUCUCUUCAUGCUCUGCUCAGUCACUGAUGAUAGUGUUGCCGUUCUUCAAAACAUAUUGAGUCAUUCUCCCAUGUUUCAUUCUAUGGCAUGUUUGGAAGGCUCGAAACACUCUCAGGUAUGAUUCAGUUGCCUUUAAUGUGAACGUUGUUAUUUUUAGAGUGCUCGUGGAUAUUAGGCUAGUCAGUGAUGCGUUUGGUUUCAAGACAUCUUAGUUGAGGGGCAUUUUGGACAUUCAGAUUGGGAAAGGGAUUGAGGAUGAUCAUGCCUCCCCGUAGACCACCGCGAUUGGUUUCUUGGAUGAAAUCAUCACCGGAGGUGGUGAAGUUAAGUGUGGAUGGUUGUUCUAGGGGAAACCCAGGUAUUGCUACUACUGGUGGUGUUUUACGAGAUCAUCAAGACGUGACAUUAGCUGCUUUUGGUUCUUUUUUGGUGCACCAAUCUAUUCCUUUUGCUGAAUUGAUGGCUCUGUUAGAGGGUUCAGAUCUUGCUGCUCAGCUUGGUUUUUCUGAUCUUGAGGUAGAAUCUGAUUUAGCGACUGUAGUUUCUUGGGCUAUUUCAAGUGGUUUUGUGCGAUGGGAUUUUAUUUACCUCCUUGGGCGUGUUCGGGCAUUGGCUUCUAGCCUAUCUAUUAUUAUUAGGCAUAUUUUUCGAGAAGCUACAUUUGCUGCUGACUUUAUGGCCAAUUGGGCUUGUACUCAUCAGACUUGUCAACGAUUUUUCAAUCCUGGUGAUCUUCCAAACAAUUUAUUAGGCAUUUUUCAUUUGGAUACUCUCAUAAUUCCAUACAUUCGGCAUUAAUCACCUUGAUUUGAAUUGGUUUUAUUUGAUCACUAAAUUAUUUGCUUUCCUGGGAGAUUUUGGUUUAUGUCCCUUUCCUUAUGUUCUUUCAUUGAUUGAUUUAUUUACAGGUAGGGGUCUGGCCUAACCCCCCACUAUCUUGGUGGAUUAUUAAAAAAAUUAUUAUUAUUAUUAGGUAAUUUAUUUCGUCAUUAUAUCAAAAUUAAUUUUGACUUUAUCAAACAAAUAAGGUUUAAAAAAUAGUUAGGGUUUAUGAUUUAUAAAGACAUUUUAGUUUGAUUAAAUUCUUAUUUUUUCUUUAGGUAAUUUCUAAGAAUAUUAAAGGGGUGUGAACAACAGUAAUCAUGAUUAAAUUAGAUUGAAACUUUUUCAACGCAAGUACAUUUGGAAUUGAUUGGGUUAAUCCCAACAUUCGCCCACCCCUAAAAUGGCUUUAUAUAUAAUCAUUAUUAUGAAAAAUAUCAUGAUAGCUUCAACUCUUAACUGAACUUUUUGGUUGAGAGAGGCUUACAUCACUCAACAUGUAUUAAUAUUCAAUACUAGAAGAGAAGCUUUAUCUAGAUUGGUAUAUUUACUAAAUAAUACUAUAAAAUAUAAAAGUUUUAAUGGCGUGUAUCAAACAUGGUGUACUUCCAUCACUAUCUUAAGAGUGGUGAUUUUUUAUCGCUUAUUGUAUCACACAAACCCCCAUUUUUCAGUUAAUUACUUUAAAAAUUUUAAACAAAUUUUUAUCUCUCAAUAUACCUUACCUAAUCUCUAUUUUACCCUUAUUUUAAUUUUUUUUAAUACACCCAUCGUAUAAAAUUUGUAAAAUCAUUUCUUAGAAAAAAAAAUCUCUCAUAAUCAUUGUAAUUUCUCAACUUUUUUUAAAGAUUUUAUCCAUCACUUAAGAUUUGAUAGUUGCACCAAGAAUUGGAGUAAGAACUAUUAAGUUUUAUACGAAUCUGUGAUAUUGUUUGGUUAACGAGAAAAUAAGAAGAAGAGAAAUCUUUUGUAAGCUAAAAUUUUUGUUCUAUUGAUCUUGAUGAAUCUGGAAAUUACAAGGCUUUUUAUAUGUGUUUGGAAGAUUCUACACACAUCACAUGCACACACAGUUCACUGCUAAUAACCUCUAUAACAAAUUAUAACAAACUUUAGCUGACUCAGCUGCCAUGUCAGCAUACUCAUUAACUAACUAAUUCUAUACUUAACAUCCCCCCUCAAGUUUAAGGUCUCGGAAGAACAUUAAGCUUGUUACGCAAAUAAGCAAACUGAUCAUAGGCUAAAGGCUUGGUAAGAAUAUCUGCUAUUUGAUCAAAGCUGGGAACAUGAUCAAUAGAAAGUUCAUGCUUGGCUAUAUGGUCUCGAACAAAAUGAAGAUCAAGUUCUAUAUGUUUGGUGCGUGAAUGGUACUUUAGAUUACUAGCUAAUGCUUCAGCACUCUUAUUGUCACAAUAUAGAACAAGAAGCUUGAGCAAGGAAACCUUGAGUUCUUUUAACAGAUAAGUGAUCCAAAGCAUCUCAGAAAUAGCAAGUGCAAGUGCCCUGUACUUAGACUUUACUAUUGAUCUAGAGACAAUAGGUUGCUUCUUUGAGGACCAUAAGACUAGAUUGUUGCCAAGAAAUACACAAUAACCACCAAUUGGAUUUUCUAUCAUUAGGGUCUGAUCCCCAAUCAACAUCAGAAUAAGCAUUUAGAAUGAGAGAACCUGAAUUAAGAAAUUGAAGUCCAAAGUUUGCUAUGCUCUGUAGAUACCUCAGAACCCUCUUACAAGCUUGCCAAUGAAGGACAGUAGGUGCAGCAAGAAAUUGGCUCAACUUGUUCACUGAAAAGGCAAUAUCAGGCCUUGUUAAAUGAUGUGCUCAUAUUUAUCUAUUAUUUUAAUACUUCCAUAACUUAAUUUUAUGUUAAAUUAUAUUUUAUUAUGUUAAUUUUAUCUUAAUUUUUAUAUUUUCUUAUUUUAGGUAGAAUAUGGGAUUAAAGAAGAAUAAAAUCGGAACAUUCAGGAGGAAGUCCACUUAAAGGAAUCAAAAAGGGAAAGAAAUAAAGAGAAUUAAUUGGAACAAAUCACAAAGGAUUUAAUUUAAUUAAUCAUUAAGCAUGCAUGCACGUGAGGAAGCAUUGAAGAAUUCAUUUACAAAGAGAAUAUGGCAAGUCACGUGGAUGGGCUUUGGUUUCAAUUCUGAUUGGCUUAGGAAUGAAACAGGCGGCUGGGUUUUUGCUUUUAAUUCUUUUCAUAAGAGGAUUUUACAAGCCACAACAUUAUAAAAAGGGAAAAGCCAAGCGGAAGCAAAAGGGAGACAAGAAGGCAGCCGCACAACAACUGAAAAUAGGAGAGAAAACCGAGAGCAAGAAAAGAACAAGAGAAGCCGCUAUAAAUCCGGGAGCAACAAUUUGGAGAAGUUAAUUGCAGAGAUUGGAGAGAGAUAGCUUCUUGAGUUUUUCUUUCUCUCUUCUCUAUUAUCUUACUUGAAUGUUUCCCAUUAAAUUCAUAGAUUCUCUAUAUUCCCAUGAACUAAUUUAUUUACUAGGGCUACGAUGUAGCCUAACUAUGAAGAUUUAAUUCCAUAAAUUUAUGUUAUUUUUAAUUUAUUAUUUCAUGGUUGAGUGUUCAUUAUUGUGCUUAAUGCUUUUAAAUAUCUGGCCAAUAUUUGAAUGAUUUGAGGAUACAUAAUGAGACCGAGAGGAGAUUUAUGUAUUUUUGCUCUGUGUAAUGGAUGCCAUGAAUUGAACGAAAGACAGAGAUGUGCCAACGUGAUUUGCGCAGUUUUUUUAAGAAUUUCCAUGGAGCUUAAUGAAUCUUUACAUAUUUAAAUUCACAUAGAGAUAUAGUGGGUUAAUGUGUGAAGGUAUUUUUAAUAUUACUCGAGAGAGGAUAUUGAAUGGAUUAGGGAAAUUCACUGUCAACAUGGGUAGUAAAUUUUAAUAGCAUAGAUAGAGGAUUAAAUUGGAUUGGUUAUGGUGAAAUCGGAUGUCUUAGUGUCUUAAUCUCUUGGUGAUUUCUAUUACUGCCUGCGUCUUUAUUUAAUUUUAAUUAUUUAAUUUUAUUUAAUUUUAAUCUAAAUUCGCUUAUUCGAUUGUUCAAAUAAAUUAGGAUUAGAAUAAUUUCGGUAACUAAUAGGAUAUACAAUCUCUGUGGGACAAUACUCUACUCUUCAUUAUAUUACUUGUGCCGACUAGUACACUUGCUAAUUUACGCAACAUUAAAGUCACAUACUGAAGAGAGCCAAUAUGCUUUUGUAGAGGGAAGGAUUCUCGAAUAGGACUCUAUUUUCUUUCUUUAACUUUUCAGUUGUACUCAUGGGUGUGUUAUAGCCCUUGUUGUCUAACAUGUGUGCCUUUUGAAGAAUAUCACUAAUAUAUUUAGUUUGAGAGAGAUGUAAACCAUCUAGGCUAGGAUUUACUUCUAUGCCAAGAAAAUAAUUGAAUUCUCCCAAGUCUUUGAGGUCAUAAGUAGAGCCAAGCUUACUGAUUACCCCCUCUACAUGCUGUAUAUUUGAUCCAGUGAUAAGUAUGUCAUCCACAUAAAUCAGAAUAACCAAAAUUUCAAUACCAGCAUGUUUAAUAAAUAGAGAAGUAUCAGACUUUGAGUUUGAAAACCCCAUUGCAUUAAUGAACCUUUCAGCUGAUCAUACCAAGCCCUUGGAGCUUGUUUGAGACCAUAUAAAGCCUUGUUUAACUUGCAAACAUGAGAAGGAAAUCUAGAAUCAAUUAAGCCCUUCGGUUAGUGCAUAUAUACAUCUUCAAUAAGUACUCUAUUCAAGAAGGCAUUGUUGAUGUCCAGCUGCCUGAUAGUCCAGUGUUGCACCACUGCUAAACUGAGAAUAAUCCUUAAUGUACAAGGCUUUACAGCAGGGCUAAAAGUUUCAAAGAAAUCCACUCCAUGUGUCGGGUGAAAACCUUUAGCAACCAGGCAUGCCUUAUACUUAGAAAUGCUUCCAUUUAAGUUGUAUUUAAUUCUGAAAAUCCAUUUGUUACCUAUAAUCUUGGUGGCUGAAUAAGAAUGAACCAGAGUCCAUGUAUGGUUUCUAUGCAAAGCAUCUAUCUCUUCUUUCAUAGCCAUAUACCACUUCUGACUAGAUAGGGUUGUUUUGACACUUGUUGGUUCUAUGUCCUGAGUUGCUGCUAGAUAAGUUUUGGGUUUGAAUAUUCCAGAUUUUGCUUUAGUAACCAUAAGGUGUUUAGAUGUUGAAGGUAUGGAAGAAAUAUAUGAGGUAUUUGUUGGUGUUGGAGGAUGGCUUAAGGCUAGACUUGGCUCAGGGGCAGCAACAUGGAGUUAAGUUUCACUUCUUGGUUCUAAAAUUGUUAUAGAUGGUGCAACUACAUUACUGUCAUCAAGAUGAGGAUUUGAGAGAGAAAAAUGAGUGAAAGACUGACUUGCAGGGGUGACACAUUUUACUGGAAUAUAAGUAGAGUUGUGAACAGAAAACAACUCUGAAUAUGGAAAUUCAGACUCAUUUAACAUAACAUGUCUAGCAAUGUAAAUUCUACCUGAUUUGUCUAGACACUUAUAACCUUCAUGCAUAGGGCUGUAGCGAAUAAAGACACAUUUUUGUGUAUGAAAAUCUAACUUGUGUUGUUGUAAGGUCUUAACAGUGGAAAGCAUGAGUAGCCAAAGACUUUGAGAAACUAAUAAUCAGGUAAUUGAUUAUGCAGCUUUUGAUAAGGUGUUUUAUUGUUUAGGAUUGGUGAAUGUAUCCUAUUUAUCAAAUAAGAUGUUGUGUGAAAAGCUUCCCACCAAAAGGUAAGUGGUAGAUUUACUUGAGCAAGAAGGGUAAGACCAGUUUCAACAAUGUGUUUGUGUUUUUUUUCCAAAACUCCAUUUUUAUGAAGUGUAUAGGGACAACUAAAUCUGAGAUGUAUCCCUUGUUGUUGAAAAAAGGAUCCAAAUGCUCUAAAUUUACCCUCCAUGUCUAAUUGUAUGGUUUUAAUGGAUAAAGAGAAUUGUUUUUCAACAAGGAGUUUAAACGUGUCUAAUGCUUCUUAUUUUAAGGUGAGAGGAAAUAUCCAACAAUAUCUGGUAAAGUUAUCUACAAAAGAUAUGUAAUAUUUAUAUCCAUCUUUGGAUGGCAUUGAUGCUGGCCCCCAAAGAUCAUCAUGUAUCAAUUCAAGUAGUGCUCUGGUUUUUAUUUCGGUUACAGAAAAAUGAAAUUGAUGUAGCUUCCCAUAUUGACAGGCAUCACAAAAACUAAGAGAAUGUGUAUUGACAACAUGUGAAGGUUGAGUCUAUAAAAUGAUUUGCAUAGCAUGUUUAUUAGGAUGACCAAGCCUAUUAUGUAACAAUUGCAUUGAGAUACAGCUUGAAUAUUGACACUUGCAGGAGGAUUAUUGAAAGAAACUGAAUCAACAGACACUGACUUGACAGACUCUGUAAUAGAGUUUACAAUUUUAUUUGAAACAACAGACAUCAUUGAACUUGGUUUAAAGACUUGUACUUCAAAAUUUGAGAGGAAAUCAUCUUGAGACAGUAGUUUGUAGAGACCCCCUUUAGCAAUUCCCUGUGCUAGUAAUGUCCCCUUCACCUUGUCCUUUACAAAACAACAAUAAGAGGAAAAUUCUAUUAUAACAUUGUUAUUAGAAAGGAGCUUGGACACACUGAUGAGAUUUUUUGUUAUAUGGGGCACACAUAGCAUGUCAGUAAGAUGCAAUAUAGCUCUAAGUGAUGUAUAAAAACAUGUAUAACCAAUAUGAGUAAUAGAGAGGCCUUUAGCAUCACCAACUAGUAGCAUCUCAGAACUAGAAUAAGACUUACCAUCAGUCAAAUUUUGGACAGCAUUUGUGAGAUGAUGAGUGGCUCCAUUGUCUAAGUACCAGCCUUGAUCAGCAACUCCUUCUGAUGUCACCAUGUAUGCAGCUCUUGGACCUUGAUUUUGAGGUGGAAAGGAACCUUGAACUGGAGGAUUUGGCAUAAAGUUUCUAUUGAACCUAUCCCUGCACUCAAUAGCUGAAUGAUUUGGCUUGAAACAAAUCUGACAUAUAAUACCUCUGCCACCUCCUCUUCCAGAACCAUUAAAACUAGCAGCAAAACUGAAAUUCUAGUUAUGCAACCUAAGAGGGGAGGGGGUGAAUUGGGAUUUUAAAAAUUAAGCUAAGCAAAUCACACAACAAUUUAAUCUAAUGCCUUAAUGGAAUCAAAAAUAAUAAAUUCAAUAAAGCACAAUAAUAAAGGAGUAAGGGAAUAGAGAGCAAACACAAUGAUUUUUACGUGGUUCGGCAAUCCCCGCCUACGUCCACGCCUCCAAGCUCACCGGGCUUGAGGAUUUCACUAAGCAAGCCUCCAAGGCUUCAAAUGCUUACAAUUGACUUCCACAGUGUUAAUGGACCUUCACAAUAAGAGAUUAUCCCCAAUCUCUUAACCCAAGUGUAUCACAACACUUACAAUCUUUUAACUUGAUUUUACAAAAAAGAUUACAAAUGAAUUUCUCUCACACAAUGUGUUUGAUCACAAAUGAAAGCUCAAUGUGUGAAUGAAUUAGAUGAAUACAAGGAUUUAAAGCUCAAUGAAAGUUGUAUUCUCAAUAUUUUACUCAAUAAUGAUCGUUAGAAUUCUUCUUGUUUGAAUUGGAUUGAACUUAUUUAUAGUUGGAGCUGAAAACUAGCCGUUAUUGACUUUCUGCUCACUGUCGGAUCGUCGCUAACUAGAUGUCGGAUCGCCGUUUGACUAGUCAAUAUGACCGUUGGGCUGAAUGUUCAAAUUGUUGGAUCGUCGUUUUAUAGAUGUUGGAUCGCCGUUAGUGUCCAGAGGCUAAUCUUUCAAUUCAGUGCAAUAUCGGUUAACCGUUAUCUAGAUGUCGGAUCGCCGUUAGUGUCCAGAGGCUAAUCUUCAAUUCUGUCAAAUGUCAGCGAGCCGUUAUCAAGAUGUCGAAUCGUCGUUUUCUACAGUAACUGCUACAGUGAAUUAUUUUGUAAAAUAACAGUUUGACCCCAAAACUUUAUAUAACUGUACUAUGGCCCAAAACGUUAUACAUUUAGCAAAUAAGUCCAAUUUUAGAAUUUCUAAAUAAUGCUUACUAUUCCCAAAUUUUUUUGAAAUUAUGAUAUAACCCAAAAUGCUAUGAAUACUUUUCAAAUAAAUCCUUCUCCAAAAUUUCAAGCAAUACUUGUUGAUUUCAAAGUUUUCAAAACUCUUUCAAUUAAACCAUAAACUUGAAAAACAAAUAAUUUCAUAAAAUUAUUUUUCCAUUAAAUAUAAAACCUUUAAAAUGUGAAAAUAAUAAUUUAUUUAAAAUGUAUAAAAAUAAUUUGAGCUUUUAAAAACUAAAUCAUUCUUAAUUUUGUUUGUUAUCAUCAAAAUUAAUAUUAUGGAUACAUAUAUGCUAACAAAAACCAUUACCAUUAAAUCCAGCAAAGCCACCUCUGCCUUGAUUACCUCCCUAAUUUCCAUUCCAUUGUCCCCUUCUAGCACCAUAUCCUACAUAAAAAAUAUGUGAUAUUACAGACACAUUAACACAUUAAUAUCACAAAAAAUCUGAUUCUCCAUUUUAAUUUACUGACAUGCUAUGUGUUCUCCAUAUAACAAAAAAUCUCAUCAGUGUGUCCAAGCUCCUUUCUAAUAAUAAUGUUAUCCAUGCCAAGUCGGUCCUGAAUAACCUUAGUAUCGUGCUAAGUCUCUCAACCCAAAGUUGAGUGAAGCAAUACAAGGAGUUGGACGUGAUAAAGAUAGAGAUUUUUUAUUAUGAUAAUUGAUUUGGAACAAAAAAGGGGAUUCUUGAUUUCCUUUUGUAAGCAUCCGGAUCUUGUAUUGAAGUUUAUCUGUUCAUGGACCAGAAUGCAUUGCAUUUAGAAAGUGUUUGCAAUUGUAAAGUGAUAUUACUUGGAUAGUAACUUGUCGUUGCAGUGCAUUUACAGAACGAAUGAAAUUUUGGAAUCGUGAUGGAAAAUGCUGUCAGAUAUCUAUCUGAGAAUGAAAGCACUCGCUGUCAGUCUCUAUGGGAUUGCAGUAUAAAAUUUUACGUUAUUCAAUAUUUUGAAUAGAAUGACUUAUUUUGAAUGGAAUGGACUAGCUUAAAAAGUAAAAAAAAAAUUAGAGUUUAAGAAAUCACAUUAGCUUAAUUAGUUAUUAAUAAAAAAUUUUAUACGGGUACACUUAAAAACUAUUUAUUCUUUUAAAUAAUUUCACAUGAGGAUAAAAUAAGUAUUUAUAUAAAAAUUAUUAAUGGAGUUGGUAAAAUAUAAUAAGGGAUUUAAAUAUCACCACUCUACCCAUAGAGCAGCCCAAAAACGAUCUCAUGGGACCUGACUCAUUGAACGAGGACCCUUAAAAUUUGAACCUACCUUGACUCACACGAUAGGCUGAACAGGUCAGUAGCAUAUAUUUAAUAAUUAAUAUUAUGUUAUUAAUAUAGCAAGUAAAUCUUGAUGCCAUCAAGAUAAAACAUAAACAAAAAAAUAAAUUGAUAUUCAUGUGCAUGUCUAAUGCUUUAUUUAUAUAAGAUUAUAAUUCUCUUUUCAUCUGAGUUUUUAUUUGAGCAAAUACAGUUAUUGGUAGUUAACAUAUAGAAGCACAGUAGGUAUAUCUUGGCCGUGCGCAGGUACAUGUCGAAAGAUAAUGAUAAAAAAGUUCCUUCAGAAUUCAUGGGCAUGCACGCACGCUACUUGUGGAACUCCAUAACCCAUAAAUUGAAAAAAAAGCAAUCAAAUCUGACGUGCAAUAUCGGUUAACCGUUAUCUAGAUGUCGGAUCGCCGUUAGUGUCCAGAGGCUAAUCUUUCAAUUCAGUGCAAUAUCGGUUAACCGUUAUCUAGAUGUCGGAUCGCCGUUAGUGUCCAGAGGCUAAUCUUUCAAUUCAGUGCAAUAUCGGUUAACCGUUAUCUAGAUGUCGGAUCGCCGUUAGUGUCCAGAGGCUAAUCUUUCAAUUCAGUGCAAUAUCGGUUAACCGUUAUCUAGAUGUCGGAUCGCCGUUAGUGUCCAGAGGCUAAUCUUUCAAUUCAGUGCAAUAUCGGUUAACCGUUAUCUAGAUGUCGGAUCGCCGUUAGUGUCCAGAGGCUAAUCUUUCAAUUCAGUGCAAUAUCGGUUAACCGUUAUCUAGAUGUCGGAUCGCCGUUAGUGUCCAGAGGCUAAUCUUUCAAUUCAGUGCAAUAUCGGUUAACCGUUAUCUAGAUGUCGGAUCGCCGUUAGUGUCCAGAGGCUAAUCUUUCAAUUCAGUGCAAUAUCGGUUAACCGUUAUCUAGAUGUCGGAUCGCCGUUAGUGUCCAGAGGCUAAUCUUUCAAUUCAGUGCAAUAUCGGUUAACCGUUAUCUAGAUGUCGGAUCGCCGUUAGUGUCCAGAGGCUAAUCUUUCAAUUCAGUGCAAUAUCGGUUAACCGUUAUCUAGAUGUCGGAUCGCCGUUAGUGUCCAGAGGCUAAUCUUUCAAUUCAGUGCAAUAUCGGUUAACCGUUAUCUAGAUGUCGGAUCGCCGUUAGUGUCCAGAGGCUAAUCUUUCAAUUCAGUGCAAUAUCGGUUAACCGUUAUCUAGAUGUCGGAUCGCCGUUAGUGUCCAGAGGCUAAUCUUUCAAUUCAGUGCAAUAUCGGUUAACCGUUAUCUAGAUGUCGGAUCGCCGUUAGUGUCCAGAGGCUAAUCUUUCAAUUCAGUGCAAUAUCGGUUAACCGUUAUCUAGAUGUCGGAUCGCCGUUAGUGUCCAGAGGCUAAUCUUUCAAUUCAGUGCAAUAUCGGUUAACCGUUAUCUAGAUGUCGGAUCGCCGUUAGUGUCCAGAGGCUAAUCUUUCAAUUCAGUGCAAUAUCGGUUAACCGUUAUCUAGAUGUCGGAUCGCCGUUAGUGUCCAGAGGCUAAUCUUUCAAUUCAGUGCAAUAUCGGUUAACCGUUAUCUAGAUGUCGGAUCGCCGUUAGUGUCCAGAGGCUAAUCUUUCAAUUCAGUGCAAUAUCGGUUAACCGUUAUCUAGAUGUCGGAUCGCCGUUAGUGUCCAGAGGCUAAUCUUUCAAUUCAGUGCAAUAUCGGUUAACCGUUAUCUAGAUGUCGGAUCGCCGUUAGUGUCCAGAGGCUAAUCUUUCAAUUCAGUGCAAUAUCGGUUAACCGUUAUCUAGAUGUCGGAUCGCCGUUAGUGUCCAGAGGCUAAUCUUUCAAUUCAGUGCAAUAUCGGUUAACCGUUAUCUAGAUGUCGGAUCGCCGUUAGUGUCCAGAGGCUAAUCUUUCAAUUCAGUGCAAUAUCGGUUAACCGUUAUCUAGAUGUCGGAUCGCCGUUAGUGUCCAGAGGCUAAUCUUUCAAUUCAGUGCAAUAUCGGUUAACCGUUAUCUAGAUGUCGGAUCGCCGUUAGUGUCCAGAGGCUAAUCUUUCAAUUCAGUGCAAUAUCGGUUAACCGUUAUCUAGAUGUCGGAUCGCCGUUAGUGUCCAGAGGCUAAUCUUUCAAUUCAGUGCAAUAUCGGUUAACCGUUAUCUAGAUGUCGGAUCGCCGUUAGUGUCCAGAGGCUAAUCUUUCAAUUCAGUGCAAUAUCGGUUAACCGUUAUCUAGAUGUCGGAUCGCCGUUAGUGUCCAGAGGCUAAUCUUUCAAUUCAGUGCAAUAUCGGUUAACCGUUAUCUAGAUGUCGGAUCGCCGUUAGUGUCCAGAGGCUAAUCUUUCAAUUCAGUGCAAUAUCGGUUAACCGUUAUCUAGAUGUCGGAUCGCCGUUAGUGUCCAGAGGCUAAUCUUUCAAUUCAGUGCAAUAUCGGUUAACCGUUAUCUAGAUGUCGGAUCGCCGUUAGUGUCCAGAGGCUAAUCUUUCAAUUCAGUGCAAUAUCGGUUAACCGUUAUCUAGAUGUCGGAUCGCCGUUAGUGUCCAGAGGCUAAUCUUUCAAUUCAGUGCAAUAUCGGUUAACCGUUAUCUAGAUGUCGGAUCGCCGUUAGUGUCCAGAGGCUAAUCUUUCAAUUCAGUGCAAUAUCGGUUAACCGUUAUCUAGAUGUCGGAUCGCCGUUAGUGUCCAGAGGCUAAUCUUUCAAUUCAGUGCAAUAUCGGUUAACCGUUAUCUAGAUGUCGGAUCGCCGUUAGUGUCCAGAGGCUAAUCUUUCAAUUCAGUGCAAUAUCGGUUAACCGUUAUCUAGAUGUCGGAUCGCCGUUAGUGUCCAGAGGCUAAUCUUUCAAUUCAGUGCAAUAUCGGUUAACCGUUAUCUAGAUGUCGGAUCGCCGUUAGUGUCCAGAGGCUAAUCUUUCAAUUCAGUGCAAUAUCGGUUAACCGUUAUCUAGAUGUCGGAUCGCCGUUAGUGUCCAGAGGCUAAUCUUUCAAUUCAGUGCAAUAUCGGUUAACCGUUAUCUAGAUGUCGGAUCGCCGUUAGUGUCCAGAGGCUAAUCUUCAAUUCUGUCAAAUGUCAGCGAGCCGUUAUCAAGAUGUCGAAUCGUCGUUUUCUACAGUAACUGCUACAGUGAAUUAUUUUGUAAAAUAACAGUUUGACCCCAAAACUUUAUAUAACUGUACUAUGGCCCAAAACGUUAUACAUUUAGCAAAUAAGUCCAAUUUUAGAAUUUCUAAAUAAUGCUUACUAUUCCCAAAUUUUUUUGAAAUUAUGAUAUAACCCAAAAUGCUAUGAAUACUUUUCAAAUAAAUCCUUCUCCAAAAUUUCAAGCAAUACUUGUUGAUUUCAAAGUUUUCAAAACUCUUUCAAUUAAACCAUAAACUUGAAAAACAAAUAAUUUCAUAAAAUUAUUUUUCCAUUAAAUAUAAAACCUUUAAAAUGUGAAAAUAAUAAUUUAUUUAAAAUGUAUAAAAAUAAUUUGAGCUUUUAAAAACUAAAUCAUUCUUAAUUUUGUUUGUUAUCAUCAAAAUUAAUAUUAUGGAUACAUAUAUGCUAACAAAAACCAUUACCAUUAAAUCCAGCAAAGCCACCUCUGCCUUGAUUACCUCCCUAAUUUCCAUUCCAUUGUCCCCUUCUAGCACCAUAUCCUACAUAAAAAAUAUGUGAUAUUACAGACACAUUAACACAUUAAUAUCACAAAAAAUCUGAUUCUCCAUUUUAAUUUACUGACAUGCUAUGUGUUCUCCAUAUAACAAAAAAUCUCAUCAGUGUGUCCAAGCUCCUUUCUAAUAAUAAUGUUAUCCAUGCCAAGUCGGUCCUGAAUAACCUUAGUAUCGUGCUAAGUCUCUCAACCCAAAGUUGAGUGAAGCAAUACAAGGAGUUGGACGUGAUAAAGAUAGAGAUUUUUUAUUAUGAUAAUUGAUUUGGAACAAAAAAGGGGAUUCUUGAUUUCCUUUUGUAAGCAUCCGGAUCUUGUAUUGAAGUUUAUCUGUUCAUGGACCAGAAUGCAUUGCAUUUAGAAAGUGUUUGCAAUUGUAAAGUGAUAUUACUUGGAUAGUAACUUGUCGUUGCAGUGCAUUUACAGAACGAAUGAAAUUUUGGAAUCGUGAUGGAAAAUGCUGUCAGAUAUCUAUCUGAGAAUGAAAGCACUCGCUGUCAGUCUCUAUGGGAUUGCAGUAUAAAAUUUUACGUUAUUCAAUAUUUUGAAUAGAAUGACUUAUUUUGAAUGGAAUGGACUAGCUUAAAAAGUAAAAAAAAAAUUAGAGUUUAAGAAAUCACAUUAGCUUAAUUAGUUAUUAAUAAAAAAUUUUAUACGGGUACACUUAAAAACUAUUUAUUCUUUUAAAUAAUUUCACAUGAGGAUAAAAUAAGUAUUUAUAUAAAAAUUAUUAAUGGAGUUGGUAAAAUAUAAUAAGGGAUUUAAAUAUCACCACUCUACCCAUAGAGCAGCCCAAAAACGAUCUCAUGGGACCUGACUCAUUGAACGAGGACCCUUAAAAUUUGAACCUACCUUGACUCACACGAUAGGCUGAACAGGUCAGUAGCAUAUAUUUAAUAAUUAAUAUUAUGUUAUUAAUAUAGCAAGUAAAUCUUGAUGCCAUCAAGAUAAAACAUAAACAAAAAAAUAAAUUGAUAUUCAUGUGCAUGUCUAAUGCUUUAUUUAUAUAAGAUUAUAAUUCUCUUUUCAUCUGAGUUUUUAUUUGAGCAAAUACAGUUAUUGGUAGUUAACAUAUAGAAGCACAGUAGGUAUAUCUUGGCCGUGCGCAGGUACAUGUCGAAAGAUAAUGAUAAAAAAGUUCCUUCAGAAUUCAUGGGCAUGCACGCACGCUACUUGUGGAACUCCAUAACCCAUAAAUUGAAAAAAAAGCAAUCAAAUCUGACGCCACUAAAUCCAGCUCCAGUAGCCAAGGUCAUGAAUUCAUGCUUUGUUCGCUCCUUUCCUCCCGGAUAUUGAGUCAUCACCAGCACAUCACCUAGGAAAUUUAUUUUUGAAUGAGUGCUAGUCUCAGGCAGUUCUGGAAGUACUGACUCCACAACAAUUAGCUUUCCUCCUUCGUGGAUACUUUUGUGGCAAUUCUUCAAUAACUUCAAGCAAUGUUCAUCACUCCAAUCGUGCAGUAUCCACUACAAAAUUUGAAAUAUUAUUAAAUUUGUUCAAGGAUCGAACACCUAAUACCUGCAAAUUAAAUUCAAAUGAAUCUUACCUUGAUCAAAAUGGCGUCACCAUUUGGAACACUUUGGAACAUGUCACCCCCUACAUGCUUAACACCUGUACUACAUACAAUUUAGUUUCCUCUGUUAGGAUCUGGCGGUAUGGUGGCCAGAGAAUUUAUAAGAGCACUGAUAUUCGGGACAAAAAUUUAGAUAAAAUUCUGACAAAAACGACAAUAUAUCAAACCUGAUUUUCUUAACUAAAUUGCAAAUAUGGUAAAUCGAGGCUGUUUUAAUGUUUUUUGUCACUUUUUCUUUUUGCAACAUUUUAUCUUUUUACCAUUUUUUUCCCAAAUGAUAAUGUGUAUUUCUUCAUAACAAUGACAUUCAAAAAAAAAAAGAAAGAAAAAAAGAAAAAAAGAGAUUGGAAUCAAUUUUCUAAUUAACUUUCUACCUUCUCCAGGAUUUAUAUUGGGAUGGUUAAUUAAAGAAAGCUACCUAAAAGCCACUUAACUACGUCCGUAACAUUAUCAUAAAUAUAAUUGAUAGUUCAUACCAGGAUACUCAGGGGCAUGCUGUAUAACAUGAGGCAAGUCGAAAUUGAUGCCCUUAAUGUGGGGAUACUUGGAAAUAAUUGCUUUAAGGGUAUUGCCAAGGGAACCACCAACAUCAACCAAUUGCUUUAUGUGCUCGAAACCCUUGUAAGCCUCAAGGAUUUUCUGAAUGACCAAAGUGGUAUGGUUGUACAUCGCUGUGCUGUAAACUUCAUUGAACCUGGGGUCCAAUCCGAGGUACUCGAAAGCGUGCGUUCCGUGGACUCUGUCAAAUGGAACUCCUCCUUCAAUAAUAGUUUCUUUCAGUUGGGACCUACACGACCAGUUAAUCAAUCAGUCCAGAAUUAGGUUCAGAUCCAGAUCUUUUAUUCUUCUCAUCAUUUUGCGUUUGGCUUAACUUUCUUAGAUACACUGAUUAGUGGUUGAUAAAAACAAAAAUAAUAACAGGAUAUAUCUAUAUUAAAUAUAUCACGAUGUAUACAUUUCAUAAAAUCCCUUAAAGAUAAGAUGAGUAGAGGAUUCAUUUCCAUAAAAAAAUUUAUUUUAUAUCUUAACUCAAAAUUGUCGCAUACAUCUUUAUGACAACGAGCAAAAAAAUGGAAAUCAGGGUAAUAUUAUCAUACGGGUGGGUUACUAAAUUUUAGCAACGUCACAAAUUAGGAGAUAUGCAGUUUGUAGUACCUUUCCAUAUAGCUAGGCGCUGCUGUUUUUAUUUUGUUUUCCCUAAAAGAUUUUAUUUCUAAUUCUCUCCAGGCAUGUGAUCGUACCACUACAAGUGAAUCUUUUAAUUGGGCGAAAUUCUACGGAUGAAGUUAAGAAAUUUUUGGUCUUCGAGGAUUUCUGUCAGAACUGAAGCAAUUACUCAAUUAAUGCAAACAACAUUACUUAAUUAAAGCUUUUAAUAGAACAAAAUACAUUGUCUUUUUUCAUAUUUGUUACACUCACGUCCUCUAUAAUUAAAAGACAAAAAUACCCCCGAAAGAAGACAUUUUUCCUCUUAUCCUCUGUAACCGCAAGUAAUUAAAACACCACCAACAAUAUUUUACCCAUUCUUGAAUUGAUAUGACUAGAAGUAUAUUUAAUAAUGAUUAAUAAGUUUUGAGAGUGUACAUUCUACAUUUAUCGCUCACAUAUAUGAACACAUUUUUUUUUUCGAUGACCUGAAUUUAGAAAUAAGUUGAGUAUGAAGUCGAUUAUGAUUUAAUACUUGGGAGAAAUGCAUGAUUGGAUCUGAAGGCGUGGGAAGAGAAAUUGUAUUAUAAACCCAUGUAUUUUACCCUAACUUAAAAAAAGAAAAAUUCAGAGGAUUAAAAUGAUAGAGUGGACAAACCAGCUGUCGAGAAAGGCCUUGUCCUGAAUUAAGGCCAAUACAGGGCCUAAUGAGACACCAUCUUGAUUAGACACAAAGUAUUUGGAGACAUCAUUCAAACCGUAUAGUCUGUGAGAACCAUCGACAUCAUCAAGUGAGCAUUGAACAAUACCAUAGCUAGCCAGAAGCCUGAGUAUCCGGUCCAGCAUCAUGGGUGCGUCUUUGUUCUUGGUGGCGGGCAACUGAGCAGCAAUCUCUGAAGCUGAGAGCUUUGCUCCAGGACCAGCUUUGGCUAUGAUCUCGAAAAGUCCCAGCUUAAUAACUGCUUUCAUGGUCAUGUGGAGCACUGAACCCGUCACCAGUUCGCAGGCAUAUGCAAAGUUUUCGUCUCUCUGUUCAUUAGCCAUAUUUUCUCAAAUUUCCUUAUCUGUUUUCCUCAAAAACAAUGCAUUUAUAGCAUAAGUGGCUCUUCCUUUAGGCAAUUCAGGCGGUUGUCUAAGGCCCCACUAUAGAUGAAGGCCCUUAAUUUUAUUCCUAACUUAUAGUUAUUAUUAUUAAUUUAUGUUUGUUAUUAUUUUAUAAUUAUAUUUUCCAUAAACAAACUAUUAAAUCCUUAUAAAGUCCCCUUUUAACAUUAUAAUUAACAAUUAUAAUCCCAUUUAUUUCCUCCAUAUAUUUCAUCUAAAACUCUAUAAAGGCCACAUAUUUUUUUAAAUUAUUAUCCAUUAAUAUCUUUUUCCCAUAAAAAAAAGCACGAAACCUUCAUUACUUUGGUGAAAAUACUACUUUCUCUACCCUACUUUUCACUUAAGGAAAAAAAAAAACAAUUGUUUUACUAUUCAUUGAUCACUGCUACUCAAAGGCUCAAUACAUCAAAGUUGCUACUCAAAGGUUCAAUACAUCAAAGUUAAAGUUCUCAAAUUUCUAGGUUCUAUCUUUCCAUUCUCUUAUUAAUUAAUUAUGGUAUUCAGUUUUUUUUUUGUUUAAAAAUAUUAUUGUGUUCGUAGGUUGUUUUCUUGUAAUUAUCUAGUAAAAUUGUUUGCUUAAUUAUUCUUGUUUCACGAGAAAAAAGAAAUGUAUACUAAAAGAAAUAUGCAUUAGGAUACAAAAAACUUCAAAAACAAGAGAAGAAUAGAAAAGUUAGUUUAAUCUCAAAAAGGAGUUUUACUCAAUGAUUGGUCGUCCGUAUCUUUCUUUUUUGUCUCCCCAUGCUUUGAUUAGUCACUGGCGGUGGUAUUGCCGUUCUUGAAAACAUAUUCGAGUCAUUCUCCCAUGCUUCAUUCUAUGGCAUGUUUGGAAGGCUCGAAACACUCUCAGGUACGAUUAUGUUGCCUUUAAUGUGGAUACCGUUAUUUAUAGAGUGCUCCUGGAUAUUACGCUAGUCAGUGACAUGUUUGGUUUCAAGUCAUCUCAGUUGAGGGGUAUUUUUGAUACUCAUAUUGGGGAGGGAUUGCAGAUUAUCAUGCCUCCCCGUAGACCACCUUGAUUGGUUUCUUAGAUGAAACUGCGGCUGGGGGUGGUGAAGUUAAGCAUGGAUGGUUGUUCUAGGGGAAACCUAGGUAUGGCUGCUACUGGUGGUGUUUUGCGAGAUCUUAAAGGCGUGGUAUUAGCUGCCUUUGGCUCCUUUUUGGAGCACUAGUCUAUUCUUUUUCUGAAUUGACGGCUCUGUUAGAGGGUUUGGAUCUUGCUGCUUAGCUUGGUUUUUCUAAUCUUGAGGUGGUAUGUUAAAUUAUAUUUAAAUAAUAUUAACUAGCAUUUAAUUUGAUAUUUAAAUAUGAAUAUCAAUUAUUCAUGAAAUUUUAUAAUAAUAAGAAAAUUAAGUAUACUAUAAAUAAGUUAUUAGGUAGUCAUAAUAUAAUAAACAAAUGAAAAAGAAAUAAAACAAUUUAAAUAUUUAAUUAAUUUUUAUCAAAUAUUUAAAAAAAUUAUAGAAAAUCAAUUAAUUAUGGUAUUUUUAUUUUUCAUGAUUAUUUUUACCAUUUAUUAGUGAUUAUUAAACUUUGUACAAUCAUAAUGCAAUAAGUUAUUAAAUGGUUAAUUUAUAAAUUAUUAAAUAUAUAAGCAAUGAAAAUUAAAUCUCAAGAGUUAUUAGAAGUAAAACUGCCAAUUUAAUUAGAUAAUAGUAAUAAAUAAAAAAUCUUAAGUAAAUCAUAGGUAAAAAUUAAUUAAUUAAUUAAUAUUAACAAAAAUAUUUUUUUAAUCUUAUCCCAACUCAAUCCAUGUGUGAAUUAAGAUUACUAAUCUGUGAUUUUAUAAUUAAAUUCAAAUUUAGUCUCCUUUAAUCCAAUUCAAGUAAAUUUAUCAAAUAUGAAAUAAAUAUUUAAUUUUAAAAUUAGUCCAAUUCGAGAUUUAAUUCUGACAUCCAAACAUAGCCUUAGUUGCCAUAAAGGCAAUUUACAAAGAGUUGUAACUGAAAACAUUUAUAAAGCUUUUUUUUAAGAAAUUUUUUUUCAGGUUCAUAUAUAUAUAUAUAAUCUUUCAGCCAAUGAAGAGCCCGCCAAUCAGAGAAGUUAAUUUUUAAAUUUCUUUUUCGACGCCGGCACCAUCCCUGCAUCUUAUAGCUUUUUUUUUUCUUUUGAAAGACUCAAUCUUAUAGCUUUGAUUCCAGAUGAAUGAGGCUUUUCAUUCAUGUUAUUCUUUGAACGAUUGUGAUUCCGGAAGCUGCUGUCAAGACAAGAUUCCAGAGGCUGCUGAUAAGACAAAUUCAAAUUUACGUUUUUAAUAAUUAUUAUCUUUUCUAAGGAUUUAAAAAUUUAUAUGCGUAACGUACAGCUAAUGUAAUGUAAGUUUUACCUGAUGUAUGAGUUGAUGAACCAUCACGGUGAAAUCAAAAUAUAAAAAAAUAACAGAGGUCAAUAACCGCAACCAAAAGAAAAGAAAAAGUAAAACACAAAGAAAAUAAGGCCAUUGGAUUCGUUUUUUCAAUUUUUUUCCUGAAUAUUAAUACUUUAUAAUGAAGAACUUGUUAAUAUUUAUCAUAAAACUAUUGUUGAUACAAUCCUACGUCAAUUUUGUUAUAUUAUAGUACAAUUCAAAAGUUUUAUUUUAUUUAAAAAUAUAUUUAUCCUACCAUAUUUAUAAAAGAUAUUGGAAAAUAAUUAAAUUAAUUAAGAUAAAAGCUUUCUCCAAUCAUAGUUGCUCAAGUUUCAAGUGUGAAACAUUCACUAAAUUUUAUAAAAGUAUCUUCCCGCUUUUUCUACUUUAUAGCUUCUCUCUUUUUAUGAAAAAUAAAUCCUUAGCAAGUAUAGAUUUGGUUAGGGUAGAAACCUUUUUUGUAAUAGUAUUUGAUAACUUAGAAGACUGCACUUCUUCCAUCAAAGAAGUGAAAUUAAUACCUUUUAUCACUUCCAUUAUGAAAAUGAUCAGUAAACUAUGACACUAUCACUCGAAAUAAAUAAGUAGGUUAUUAAUACGAGUUUAUCUAGUUAUUUAUUUUUUAAAAAUCACUUAUCAUGUGGACUAUAUAAUGAAAAUUUAUGGAGAUAUAUGUACCCACAUUUAACUAUAUAAUUGAGAUAAGAAAUUAGAGGUCCAAGGAGUAGUAUUCAAAUCUGCAACGUCAAAGUUGAGGUUGUGACAGGCAAAAGAAAAAGGAUAAGCAUGUGUUUUUGGGAAAGGAACCCAUACAAACAAUUGCAAAUUAAGCAAAAAAUAACUUUUUUUCCUCUUUGUAUGGUAUAAUUGGAAUGUGUACAACAAACAAACAAGCCGAAAAAUAAACCAAUACAAUCUAAAAUAAUAAAUCAACCAUAAGAGACAGAUUUUUUAGAUGGAAAACUUAAAUUGAGCAAAAAAUCAUAGAACUGUAGUCCAAUAUAACCUUCCGUUAUAUUAAUAAUGGGAUUACAACACAAAUUCUUCUCCAGAUAGCAUUAGAGGCUAACAACAUCAAGAAUCUCAACAAUCUUGGCUUAUAGUAAUAAUCUAAUAUUUUUCUCUCUAACAAAUGGGUAAUCUCAAAUAAUAGCCAAUGAGAGAUAAAAUAAAAUCAAGACAGUAAGAUUGUAGAGGGUGAUACCAGAAACUUACUCUCCAAAUUUGGAAGAAAAUGGAAUUAAGUUUGCCAUACGAUCAUCCAAUCAAAGAUUAAAACCCUUACCUCCAAAUUGGAAUAAUCGGGUAUUGUAUUAUUUUUCUCUCUCAUCUUUAUACAUUUUUAAGUCUGCCGCUUCACUUAUUUACUUUUUCUUUUAUAUCCACGUGAUUUUGAAAGCCAAAUUUAAUGGUAAUUUUCAAUUAGUCAUAACGUGUUUCCUUUAACUCUUUAAACACCCAAACUAAUGGAAACUUUGAGUUGGGCCAAAAAAUGAAAUGUAUCUAACAAAUCUUCUCCACCAGAUUAUGUUGGGGACACCACCAAGCCCGUUCUCUGCUUAUAUUCUUUCAACUUCUCCUUGGGCAAUGACUUUGUCAUGAUAUCUGAACUAUUCUUCAUGAAUCUUCUCAGGCUGCAACUAUUUCUUUUCAGACACGUCUGUACCCAAAGAUAACUCACAUUCAUAUACUUGGGUUUCGAAUGGUAUGCUGAAAUCAUUACCAAGUAAAAGCACUUUUAGAUUAAAUUGGAUUAAGCUGGUUUAUAUUAUAAUGUCUUAUGUUUGGUGUAGUAUGCUGUGAAAACUUUUAAUAUACUUGCAAGCGCAUGAAUUGUGGUAACGAGGUCAAACCCACAUGGAUUGCUAUAAAUUGAAAAGUCUAAUUUUAAUCUAAAAUUAAUAUUAACCUUAACCUAGUUGAGCAAAUGGACUUUUAAGAGAAAUUAAUCUAAUUAAACUAAGAAAGAAAUUAAAACAAAGGAGAAUUCAAUAAGACAAAAAUUAUUAAGGUUUCAAAAUCCACCACUAUUUAAUUAGUAAAAUUAUCUAAUUGUUAAUUAAUCCUCAAUUUUAGAGUGACAACUCAAAAUUUUAUAAUAAUAAGUAAACAAAUUUAAAAAGCAAAUAAUAAGAAAAUUAAGUAUAUUGUAAAUAAUUUAUUAGGUAGUCGUAAUAUAAUAAACAAAGAGAAAAUAAAUAAAAAUUUAAAUAUUUAAUUAAUUUUUGUCAAAUAUUAAAAAAAUUAUAUAAAAUCAAUUAAUUAAGGAAUUUUUAUUUUCAUAAUUAUUUUUAAUAUUAUAUUAGUAAUUAUUAAAUUUUAAUCAAUCAAUAAAGCAAUAAGUUAUUAAAUGGUUAAUUUAUAAAUUACUAAAUACACAAGUACUAAAAAUUUAUUCUCAAGAGUUAUUAGAAGUAAAACUACCAAUUUAAUUUGAUCGUAGACAAUAAAUAAAAAAUCUUAAAUAAAUCACAAAUAAAAAUUAAUUAAUAAAUAAAUAUUAUUAAUUUUUUUCUUUAAUUUUAUACCAACUAAACCCAUGUGUAAAUUAGAAUUACUAAUCCUAUGAUUUUAAAAUUAAAUUCAAAUUUAGUCUCCUUUAAUCCAAUUCAAGUAAAUUUAACAAAUAUGAAAUAACUAUUUAAUCUUAAAAUUGACCCAAUUCGAUACUUAAUCCUGUCAUCCAAAUAUAGCAUUCGUUUCCUUAAAGGCAACUUACAAAGAGUUGUAACCGAAAACAUUUAUAAAGCCAUUUUUUUUUUCGGGUUCAUAUAUAUGUAUAUACUAGGAAAUAGAACCGUACUUCGUGCGGCUUUAAAAAAAGAAUUUAGUAUUAUUUUUUUUAUUACUUUACACUUGAUAAAACUGAUAAAAAAUAUGAAUUGAUUUUUUUUUAAAGAUGAUGCAGCCUUAUAAAACUAAUGUUAUUUAUGAAAGUUAAUUAUUUUUUUGUUAACUUUAAAAAUAUAUAUUAAUGUGUAUAGUUAAGUGUAAACAACCUUUUCAUCAAUAAAAAUUAUGUUCACACUAAUCAACUCUCAAUUCUUCUUGGUAUUAACAGACUCCUACAUUUUACAAAGCCUAACCCUUAUCAUCUAACUAUCUUUAUCAUUGUUUAACUCAUGAAGAAAAGAAUAUUAUAUGAAGCACACAAUACAAAAAAAUUAAAUAAGUCAAAAAAUAAAAACACAAGAACAUUUCUAAAGAGGAUGUUGGUUAAAUUAAAAAAAAAUCCAAACAUAACAAAUCUUAAAUACUUAAUAUUUAUAUAGUUUAAAGAAGCCAAAAGACACUAAAUAAAAGGUUGCAUAAUUAAAUAUGAAAUUAUGACAUUGAAAUUAGGUCCUAGUGGUAUUGGUGAUGGAAGAUGAAAGAACCUUCCUUCCUAUAUUAAUUAGUUGAUGUAUUUUAAACCACUAAAGUUUAGUUGUUGGCUUAAUAAAAUAAAUGAAUGUUUCAAAACUAUAAUUAAUUUAUUAUUAAUGGUUACAUAUUGUUGAAUUUAAAUAGAAAGAAGAAGAGACAUGUAAUCUUUUAUAAUCUACUAAUUAUUUUCUAUUUUUAAUAUUUUGUAAUGUAAUUAUUUUUUAAUCUCAACCAAUAUAUUAGAUUAUAGAGAAUAUAAAAAGAUGAGAAAUAAUAAUGGUACAAAUCUUAACUACUUAAUAUUUAUAGAGUUUGAAGAAACCAAAAGGCACUAAACAAAAGGUUACAUAAUUAAAUAUGAGAUUAUAACAGUAAAAUUAGACCCUAAUGGCAUUAUUGAGGGAAGAUGAAAGAACAUUCCUUCCUAUAUUAAUUAAUUGAUAUAUUUAAGCCCACUAAAGUUUAGUUGUUGGCUUAAUAAAAUAAAUGAAUGUUUCAAAACUAUAAUUACCAAUUUAUUAGAUAAUAGAGAAUACAAGAAGAUGAGAAAUAGUGAUGCCACAUCACCUCCUCUAGUCCCAACUUUAUAUAUAUAUAUCAAAUAUAUAUAUAUAUAUAUAUAUAGAUAUAGAUUUUUAAUAUUUUGUAAUGUAAUUAGUUUUUAAUCUCAACCAAUAUAUUAGAUAAUAGAGAAUAUAAACAGAUAAGAAAUAAUGAUGCAACAAAUCUUAAAUAUUUAAUGUUUAUGGAGUUUGAAGAAGUCAAAAUACACUAAACAAAAGAUUGAAUAAUUAAAUAUGAGAUUAUGACAUUAAAAUUAGGCUCUAAUAGCAUUGUUGAGGGAAGAUGAAGGAACCUUCCUUCAUAUAUUAAUAUUAAUUAAUUGAUGUAUUUUAAGCCACUAAAAUUUAAUUGUUGGCAUAAUAAAAUAAAUGAAUGUUUCAAGACUUAUAAUUAAUUAUUAUUAAUGGUUACAUAUUGUUGAAUUUAAAUAGAAAGAGGAAAAGACAUGUAAUCAUUUAUAAUCUAAUAAUAAUUUUCUAUUUUAAUAUUUUGUAAUGUAAUUAUUUUUUAAUUUCAACUAAUUUAUUAAAUAAUAGACAAUAUGAAAUUAUGAGAAAUGGUGAUGCCACAUCACCUCUUGUAGUCCCAACUUUAUAUAUAUGUAUAGAUAUAAUCUUUCCGCCAAUGAAGCGCCUGCCAAUCAGAGAAGUUAAUUUUUUUUUUUAAUUUCUUUUUCGAUUGUGAUUCCGGAGGCUGCUGUCAAGACAAGACUCCAGAGGCUGCUGAUAAGAAAAAAUCAAAUUUACCUUUUUAAUAAUUAUUAUCUUUUCUAAGGUUUAAAAUUUUAUAUUGGUAACGUACAGCUAACGUAAUGUAAGUUUUACCUAAUGUAUGAGUUGAUGAACCAUCACGGUGAAAUCAAAAUAUCAAAAAAUAACAGAGGUCAAUAACCGCAACCAAAAGAAAAGAAAAAGUAAAACACAAAGAAAAUAAGGCCAUUGGAUUCGUUUUUUCAAUUUUUUUCCUGAAUAUUAAUACUUUAUAAUGAAGAACUUGUUAAUAUUUAUCAUAAAACUAUUGUUGAUACAAUCCUACGUCAAUUUUGUUAUAUUAUAGUACAAUUCAAAAGUUUUAUUUUAUUUAAAAUAUAUUUAUCCAACCAUAUUUAUAAAAGAUAUUGUAAAAUAAUUAAAUUAAUUAAGAUAAAAGCUUUCUCCAAUCAUAGUUGCUCAAGUUUCAAGUGUGCUCUACAUUCAUUAAAUUUUAUAAAAGUAUCUUCCCGAUUUUUCUACUUUAUAGCUUCUCUCUUUUUAUGAAAAAUAAAUCCUUAGCAAGUAUAGAUUUGGUUAGGGUAGAAACCUUUUUUGUAAUAGUAUUUGAUAACUUAGAAGACUGCACUUCUUCCAUCAAAGAAGUGAAAUUAAUACCUUUUAUCACUUCCAUUAUGAAAAUGAUCAGUAAACUAUGACACUAUCACUCGAAAUAAACAAGUAGGUUAUUAAUACGAGUUUAUCUAGUUAUUUAUUUUUAAAAAAAUCACUUAUCAUGUGGACUAUAUAAUGAAAAUUUAUGGAGAUAUAUGUACCCACAUUUAACUAUAUAAUUGAGAUAAGAAAUUAGAGGUCCAAGGAGUAGUAUUCAAAUUUGCAACCUCAAACUUGAGGUUGUGGCAGGCAAAAGAAAAUGGAGAAGCAUGUGUUUUUGGGAAAAGAACCUGUACAAACAAUUGAAAAAAACCAUGAACCGUAGUCCAUUUUAACCUUCCGUUAUAUUAAUAAUGAGAUUACAACACAAAUUCUUCUUUAGAUAGCAUUAGAGGCAAUGGCGAAGCUAAGGGUUGGCUAACCCGGGCUACAACCCAGGUUAGCUUUUUGAAAAAAAAUAAUAAUUAAUUAUAGUUUAUGAAUUUGUCUUUAUUAAUACUUAUAAAAAAUUAAAAAUAAAUUUAAUAGCCCACCCCAAAAUACGGUGCUAGCUUCCCCACUGAUUAGAGGUUAACAACAUUAAAAAUCUCAACAAUCUUGGCUUAUAGUAAUAAUCUAAUAUUUUUCUCUCUAACAAAUGGGUAAUCUCAGCUAAUAGCCAAUGAGAGAUAAAAUAAAAAUCGAGACUAGUAAGAAUGUAGAGGGCGAUACCAGAAACUUACUCUCCAGAUUUGGGAGUAAACGGAGUUAAGUUUACCUUCCGAUCGUCCAAUCAAAGAUUAAAACCCUUACCGCCAAAUUCGAGUAAUCGGCCACUGUAUUCUUUUUCUCUCACAUCUUUUGUACAUUUUUAAGGCUGCCACUUCACUUAUUUACUUUUUCUUUUAUUGCCACGUGAUUUUGAAAGCCAAAUUUAAUGGUAAUUUUCAAUUAGUCAUAACCUAUUUCCUUUAAUUAUUUAAACAUCCAAACUAAUGGAAACUUUGAGUUGGGCCACCCAAAUGAAAUGGAUCUAACAAAUCUUCCCCACCAGAUUAUGUGAGGGACACCGCCAAGCCCGUUCUCUGCUUACAUUCUUUCAAGUUUCAACUUUUCCUUAGGCAAUGACUUUGCCAUCAUAUCCGACCUAUUCUUCAUGAAUCUUCUCAGGUUGCAAUUAUUUCUUUUCAUGCACAUCUUGUUCCCAAUGAUAUCUUACAUCAAUAGACUAGGAUUUCGAAUGGUAUGUUGAAUUCAUUGCCAAGUGAAAGCACUUUAACUAUUACAGUACACGACAUAAUUGUCUUUUUUCACAUCCAGCUUUUGUAAGAAAUUCUUCACCACAAGAUUCAAAGAAACCUUCAGUAAUUGCAUUAAAUAAAUAAAGAAAAGCAAACAAAUACUUCACUUUUGAUGAAACUUUCAAUUAUCAUUCUUUAUGACUUUAAGCUACAUUUACCAUGCAAAAUUAGACUGGACUAAUUAUUAUAAUAAGACUGGAUUAGAUUAAAUUGGAUUAAGCUGGUUUGUAAUAUAUUGUCUUAUAUUUGGUGUAGUACUCAAUUGUACUAUGUUAAAUUAUAUUUAAAUAAUAUUAAAUAGCAUUUAAGUUGAUAUUUGAAUAUGAAUAUCAAUUAUUCAUGAAAUUUUAUAAUAAUAAGUAAAUAAAUUUAAAGAGCAAUUAAUAAGAAAAUUAAGCAUAUUGUAAAUAAGUUAUUAGGUAGUCAUAAUAUAAUAAACAAAUAAAAAAGAAAUAAAAAUUUAAAAAUUUAAUUAAUUAUUAUCAAAUAUUUAAAAAAAUUAUAUAAAAUCAAUUAAUUAUGGUAUUUUAAUUACAUUUUAUACAAUCAAUAAUGCAAUAAGUUAUUAAAUGGUUAAUUUAUAAAUUAUUAAAUACACCGGUAAUGAAAAUUUAUUCUCAAGAGUUAUUGGAAGUAAAACUUACCAAUUUAAUUAGAUCAUAGAUAAUAAAUAAUAAAUCUUAAGUAAAUCAUAAAUAAAAAUUAAUUAAUUAUAUAAUAUUUAUAAAUAUUUUUUUUUUAAUUUUAUACCAACUAAACACAUGUGUAAAUUAGGAUCACUAACAUGAUGAUUUUAAAAUUAAAUUUAAAUUUAGUCUCCUUUAAUACAAUUCAAGUAAAUUUAUCAAAUAUGAAAUAAAUAUUCAAUCUUAAAAUUGAUCCAAUUCGAUACUUAAUCCUGACAUCCAAAUAUAGCCUUGGUUGCCUUUAAGGCAAUUUACAAAGAGCUGUAACCGAAAAAUUUAUAAAGCCAUUUUUUUUUUUUUGGGGUUCAUAUAUAUGUAUAUAUAUAAUCUUCCCGCCAAUCAGAGGUGUUAAUUUUUUUUUAAAAUUUCUUUUUCGAUUGUGAUUCCGGAGGCUGCUGUCAAGGCAAGACUCCAGAGGCUGCUGGUAAGUCAAAUUCAAAUUUACCUUUUUAAUAAUUAUUAUCUUUUCUAAGGUUUAAAAUUUUAUAGGGGUAACGUACAGCUAACGUAAUGUAAAGUUUACCUGAUGUAUGAGUUGAUGAACCAUCACGGUGAAAUCAAAAUAUAAAAAAAUAACAGAGGUCAAUAACCGCAACCAAAAGAAAAGAAAAAGUAAAACACAGAGAAAAUAAGGCCAUUGGAUUCGUCUUUUCAAUUUUUUUUUCUGAAUAUUAAUACGUUACAAUGAAAGAACUUGUUAAUAUUUAUCAUAAAAGAUUGUUGAUACAAUCCUACGUCAAUUUUGUUAUAUUAUAGUACAAUUCAAAAGUUUUAUUUUAUUUAAAAAUAUUUUAUCCUACCAUAUUUUUAAAAGAUAUUGUAAAAUAAUUAAAUAAAUUAAGAUAGAAGCUUCCUCCAAUCAUAGUUGUUCAAGCUUCAAGUGUUCUCUACAUUCACUAAAUUUUAUAAAAUUAUUUUCCUACUUUUUCUACUUUACAGCUUUUCUCUUUUGAUACAAAAUAAAUCCUUAGCACGCGUAGAUUUGGUUAGGCUAGAAACCUUUGUUAUAAUAGUUUUUUUAUAACCUAGAAGACUACACUUCUUCCAUCAAAGAAGUGAAAUUAAUAAACUUUAUCAUUUUAUAAUGAAAAUGAUCAGUAAACUAUAACGCUAUCACUCGAAAGAAAUAAGUAGAUUAUUAAUAUGAGUUUAUCUAGUUAUUUUGUUUUUAAAAUCACUUAUCAUGUGGACUAUAUAAUGAAAAUUUGGGGAGAUAUGUCUACCCACAUUUAACUAUAUAAUUGAGGUAAGAAAUUAGAGGUCCAAGGAGCAGUAUUCAAAUCUGCAACCUCAAAGUUGAGGUUGUGGCAAGCAAAAGAAAAAGAAGAAGCAUGUGUUUUUGGGAAAAUAACCUGUACAAACAAUUGCAAAUUUAACAAAAACUAACUUUUUCCCUUUUUGUGUGAUAAAAUCGGAAUGUGUACCAUAAAUAAAUAGGCAGAAGAUAAACAAAUACAAUCUAAAAUAAUAAAUCAACCAUAAGAGAUAUAGAUUUUUUAGGUGAAAAACCUAAAUGAAGAAAAAAAAAAAAACCACAGAACCUUAGUCCAAUAUAACCUUCCGUUAUAUUAAUAAUGGGAUUACAAGACAAAUUCUUCUUCAGAUAGCAGUAGAGGUUAAUAACAUGAAGAAUCUCAACAAUAUUGGCUUAUGGUAAUAAUCUAAUUUUUUUCUCUCUAACAAAUGGGUAAUCUCAGGUAAUAGCCAAUGAGAGAUAAAAUAAAAAUCAAGACUAGUAAGAAUGUAGAGGGCGAUACUAGAAACUUAUCCUCUAGAUUUGGGAGAAAACAGAGUUAAGUUUACCUUCCGAUCAUCCAAUCAAAAAUUAAAACCCUUACCUCCAAAUUGGAUUAAUCGGCCACUAUAUUCUUUUUCUCUCUCAUCUUUUCUACAUUUUUAAGGCUGCCGCUUCACUUAUUUACUUUUUCUUUUAUAUCCACGUGAUUUUGAAAGCCAAAUUUAAUAGUAAUUUUCAAUUAGUCAUAACCUUUUUUCUUCAAUUAUUUAAACAUCCAAACUAAUGGGAACUUUGAGUUGGGCCACCCUAAUGAAAUGGAUCUAACAAAUCUUCCCCACCAAAUUAUGUGGGGGACACAACCAAGCCUAUUCUCUCCUUACAUUCUUUCAACUUCUCCUUAGACAACGACUUUAUCAUCAUAUCCGACCUAUUCUUCAUGAAUCUUCUCAGGCUACAACUAUUUCUUUUCAAGCAGGUCUUGUAUCCAAUAAUACUCACAUCAAUAUGCUUGGAUUUCGAAUGGUGUGUUGAAUUCGUUUCCAAGCGAAAGCACUGUGAUUAUCACAAUACAUGCCAUAGCUAUCUUAUUUAACAUCUUGCUCUUGUAAGAAAUUCUUCACCAAGGUUUUAAAGAAACCUUCUGUGAUUGCAAUAUAUAUAUAUAUUUUGGUGGAGAAAACAAUACGAAAUUUGAAAUCCUCUGAGUAUACUCCCCUGUAAAGGUAAGCAAAUAUCUUGAUGAGAAUUUUCUAGAAUCAACAUCUCUUGCCCUAUCUGCAAUACACUUGUAGCACAAGUUGACACCAUUAAAAUCUAAACAUGCCUUGGAAAUGACUUUGAGGUAUCUGGGAAUCCACUUUAUUGCUGUCUAGUGUCUUUGCCCAAAUUAUAAAGAGACUAGCUGAGUACACCCAUUGCAUGAGCAAUAUUUGAUACAAGCCAUGGCGUACAUUAGCCUGCCAAGUGCUGAAGCAUAAAAAACUCCUUUCAUCUCUUACCUCUCUUUCUCACUUGUAGGACAAUGCUCGGAACUAAGCUUAAAAUGACCCGUAAGUUGAGAACAAAUAUAUUUUUCCUUGUUUAUUUUAAUUUUUUCAAGAACACUUUCAAUUUAUGCUUCUUGAGAUAACCAUAACUUGCUAAUUUUUAUGUCGUGGGAAAUCAUCAUGCCAAGAAUUUAUUUGCCGGUCCUUGGUAUUUUAUUUAAAUAACUUGCUAAAUUUUUUCUUUAGAUUAUCAAUCUUACUAGCAUUGUGGUCAACAAUCAACAUAUCAUCUAUAUAAAGCAAAAGAAUGAUAAAAUUAUUAUCACCAAUCUUCUUUACAAAAAGACAAUAGUCAGACAUAAUCUUGCUAAAACUGUGAUUCUUUAUAAAAGAAUCAAACAUUUUGUACCAUAGUCUUGGUGCUAUUUCAGUCCAUACAAACUUUUCUUCAACUUGUGUACAAUUUCUUUGUUGCCUUUGACAUUGAAUCCUUCAGGUUGCUCCAUUUAUAUUUCCUCCUUUAAGUCGCGAAGAAAGAAACUCGAUUACCUCAUUCUCAUAUCCUAGAGACUUUCUAUCCAUCAACAUCCAAGAUUUAUCCAUAUUUAGACUAUUAAAUUUCCUGCAAAUGCAUCACAUUUCAUUCAUUCAUUUUAUUAAUAUUGGAGUUUGAUAUUGUUUCCAACCAUAAGAACAAUAUUAAAAUUACAAAAUCAACAAAAAAAACAGUUAAAAUAUAAUAAAAAAAUAACACUUAACAGCAAGAGAAAACCUAUAUCUUCAUCAUGACUAAUUAUAGCAGUAAUAUUACAAGCCAUAUACCAUAAAUCAUGAAAAGAGCAAAUAAUAUAAUUUUGAAAAAAUAGAGAAAUAGAAAAAAAAAAAAAAACAAAACAAAAGUACCUUUUGUUAUUGCUUCAAGAAUCACGGAACUAGUAACAACUUAAGAGACUAAGUCGCGACUAAAAAUAGAGAAGAAUAGAAGCAAGACUCGUUUUUUGAUUUCUACUAAAAAAGACAAAAUGAAUUAAAUAAAACUUGUCCACGACAAUAAACUAGCUAGCUAUUGUAAUGAUUUAAACAAUCCAUAAAUAAAGUAUUAAAUUAAUAUGCAAAUGUCACAUGUAGUAAAACAACAUAUACAGUAUUAUGAAAUUUCAACAGCGAAAUUAGGUGUUGAAACCGUUAAAUAAAAUCCUUUUUCCAUUAGAGAUCUAAAUUUUGAGAAUUUUGGUUUAGCUUACUUUAGUCAAACUCAAUCACUCUGUAGAGUGACUGAUGGGCAUAAUUUAUAUACAUAUUGUACCAUUAAUUAUAUAAUUAUUAGUUUUUUUUAUUUUUUUAUUUUUAAUUAAUUAAAUUAUUUUAUUGAAUAGGAAAUUAAUUGAAGAUUAAGGAUAAAAAGUGCAUGUGGAAGUUCAAAUUGGGAAGGAAUAAAAAUUAAAUUGAAAGACAAAAAUGCAGCAAAAAAUUAACGGAAGUCAAGAAGACCAAAAUUGGAAUUCAAUCUCUUCAAAUAAUGAACGGUGGGCAUGCAGUUGGAAAGCAAAGAUUUGGCAAUUUGGAAUGCAUGUGCAGGGUAUUAAAAAAAAGAAAUUAUUAAUUGGCCUUUUGCUUUUAAGUUAAACGUGUGGCUAGCUUUCAAACCUUAAUAAGGAAACAAUUUAAAAAGGGUUUGGUGAGUGGGCUUUGUUAACUCGGUGGGUGGCUAAGCAUUAUAAAAAGCCGAAUUUGGCUUUUGAAAGAGCAGCCACCAGAGGAGAAGCCGCAAGAAAGAGAAGAAAAAGAGCAGCAGCAGAUCAAAUUUCCCAUCGCUGGUUUUAUUUUAUUCGUUACUCCCAAUUCAAGUAUGUCUAACUAAUUUUCUUAUACUGAGAUUAAGGAUGAAGCCUUAUUCAAUGAAAUAAUUAUCUUUUAAUCAAUUCCCUAUAUAUGUUCUUUGAUGAUUAUGGUUUUUGUUUCAUAUGAUUAGUUGAAUGUUAUUAAAUUCUUUUCACCAAUUCUGUCAUGCGUUAUUGAUUGUUAAGAUUAAUAUUUGACUAAAUCUAUUCUUGGAUCUAUGAAGUCUAUACAUGAUUAUCUUUGAUUUUGUGUCUUUCAUUAAAUUAUUUACAUAGAGUGCUUAGGAAACUUUGACUCUUUUUUAUUCAAUAUGUUUACAUGGGAUGCUUAGAUAUCAUACUAUUAAGCAGAAAAGAACCUACAUUAGAUUUAAUUACUUGGGCUUAAUUGUUAUAUCUAUGAGAUGACAUAAAUUGAUUUUGAGCUGUCACUCUAAAAUUAGGGAUUAAUUAAUAAUUAGAUAAUUACUAGUUGAAUAGUGAUGGAUUCUGAAACCUUGAUAAUUUUUUUCUUAUUGAAUUCUUAUUUGCUUUAAUUGUUUUCUAAGUUUAAUACUCAAUUUGUUCAACUAGGUUAGAAUUAAUAUUAAUUUUAGAUUUAAAUUAGACUUUUCAAUUUAUAACAAUUCCUGUGGGUUUGACCUUGUUACCACUAUUCAAUUUCUAGAUUCGUGUGCUUGCGAGUAUAUUAAAAUUUUUCACAACAUGUUUUUGGCACUGUUGCCGGGGAUUGUGCCAGAAAGUCAGUUUAAUCUAGGUUGAUUUGAUUCUUCCACUAGUUAUAAUUUAUGUUGUCUUUUUUUUUAUAUAUAAAAACAAUGUAAUUUUUUAUUAUUAUUUGUCUUUAAAUUCAUUGUUUGGUUGUUUUAUUUCUUUUAUUUUAAAUUUCAUUUAUUUUUAUUAUUUUUGUUUUAUUUUUCUUUGUCUAGUUAGUUUAUGAGUGUUUGGGAACGCGAUUCAAUAAAUCGUUUGGUCAAAAAGGAGUCCAAGGUUGAGAGUAAUCAAGCUAGUUCUUCUCAAGUGAUGGAUGACCUAAAUAGAAUAUUGCCAAUACUACCACCAGUGCAAGCAGAGAAAACCCUUAGAGAAUAUAUUUCACCACUUGCAGCCAACCAACCAUCUUGUAUUGUGUUGCCACAAACUACAACAACACACUUUGAUUUUAAGCCCUGUGUCAUUCAACUUUUACCAUCUUUCCAUGGGUUAGAGAGAGAAGAUCCAUAUUUGUACAUUAAGGAAUUUCUUGACAUAUGCUCUACAUUUCGUUUUCAAAAUUUUAAUGAUGAGUCAAUUAGGCUUCGUAUGUUCCCUUUCUCAUUAAAAGACAAAGCGAAAGCUUGGUUGAAUUCACUUCUUGCUGGGUCUAUUACUACAUAGGAUGAAUUGAGUAACAAGUUCCUCACCAAGUUUUUCCCUAUGUCUAAAACAAAUGCCCUUAGGAGAGAGAUAAGUGAUUUUUAUCAAAGAGAGGGUGAACAAUUGUACGAGUGUUGGGAAAGAUUCAAUUAUUUACUCCUCAAGUGUCCCCACUAUGGUUUUGAGAAAUGGAGACUUAUACAAUUCUUUUAUAAUUGUUUAAUCAUGUCAAAUCGUCAUAUGGUAGAGUUUAUGAAUGGUGUAAGAUUUUUGAACCUACAUGAAAGGGCUGCAUGGAAUUUCUUUACUUCACUUUUUGAGAAUUCUCAAUAGUGAGAUUUUUCAAAUUAAAGAGAAAAAUCAUCUCAACUUUUUAGAAAGGGUCUUUAUGAAGUUUAGGAUGAUUUUGAUGUGAAAGCCACUCUAGCUACUCUUUCUAGGAAAGUAGAUGCCUUAGCUAUGAACCAAUCCGUGAAUUAUCAUCCUAGUGUAGCAAAUGAGGUUUGUGCUCUUUUUUUCUAACUUGUCUCAUACAGCGCAUAAUUUUCCAUCAUUACCGGCCUAUCAAGAGGCCUAUUCUGAGUAGGUACAUGUCCUGCAAUCAUAUGAGAAAACCUCCAAUAGUUCAUAUUCACCAUAAUUCUAAUUGGAGGAAUCACCCUAAUUUUUCUUGGAAACAAAAUCAACCUUUGUCAAACCAAGGAGGACAACAAUUUAGCAUGCCCAAUCAACAAUUUGUCCCUCCUCCCUCCUACCCAAGUAUAUCCCCAUGCCCAACAACCUGUCUCAAUUUGCUGCACCCCAACAAAGAAAACCUUCUUUAUAGGGUACACUUCAAACAUUCAUUCAGUCAACCCAACAAGCCUUUCAGUCAAACACGCAAGCUAUUCUAAAUCUUGAACAUCAAUUGGGUCAAUUAGCAACUAUUGUGGCUGAGAGAGAAAAAGGAAAAUUCCCAAGUCAAUUAGUUCCAAAUCCUAAAGGAGUGCAUGAAGUUGGAUCGAGUUCAAGCCAUCAGCAUGAAGAAGCAAAAUCUAUUAUGACCUUGAGAAUAGGAAAGUUAUUUGACAAUAAGGUAGAGGUUCGAACAAGAAAGACAUCUGAACCUGGUUCUUCAGAUUCAUUUUCAUCACAAGACUCAUCGCCAAAUGAUCAAGAAUAAACUGGCCCACCAGCUUACAUUCCUAAGGCUCAUUUUCCUUAAAGGUUAGCAAAGGUAAAGAAAGGGACUUCAACAUGUGAGAUUAUGGAAAUCUUCAAGCAGGUAAGUAUAAACAUCCAUUUACUUGAUGGUAUUAAGCAAGUUCCUUCCUAUGGCAAGUUUUUUAUGGAUUUAUGCACUAACAUGUUACCAAAAAUGCAUUUUUAACUGAACAAACUAGCAAUUUACUUCAAUAUAAAAUGCCACCAAAAUUUAAGGAUCCAGAUUCUCCUAUUAUCUCAUGUGUUAUAGGGAACCAAUUGUUUGAUAAAAUAUUAUUGGAUUUAGGCAGUAGUGUUAAUUUCUUGCCUCAUUUUGUUUACAGGCAGCUUGGAUUAGGUGAAUUAAAGCCAACUUCCAUUAUUUUGCAGCUUACUGAUAGGUCAAUAAAAAUGCCUCGUGGUAUUAUAGAGGAUGUGUUGAUACAUAUUGACAAACUUUAUUAUCCUAUUGAUUUUAUUGUUAUUAAUACUCUGGAUGUACAUGAUCCUAAGAAACACACCCUAGUUAUUCUAGGUCAUCAUUUCUUAGCUACAAUUAAUGCUCAUAUUAGUUGCAGGACCGGAAACAUGCAAUUGUCUUUUGGUAACAUAACCAUGGAAUUAAAUAUUUUUAAUGUUCCCAAGCAGGCAUAAGACGAUGAUGAAGUCGUUGAAGUAGAUAUGAUAGAAGCAUCAAUUGAUGACUAAUUUAUUUUUAACCACUGUGACAAUCCAUUAACACCAUGCACAGCUAACUCUAAUUUAUCUUUUGAUGUUGACAGUGGUACUGAAGAAGUUAAUGCUUUACUUGAUUCAACUCUGAUCAUAAAUCUAAUGAAGUGGAAAGAAAAGAUUGAGCCACUUUCUCCUGAAGAGAAAAUUAAACCAUUCAAGUUGGAGCUACUUCUUAAAGAAUAGUCACAUUCUGACACGAAAAAGGUGGUAAGAUCUAAAGUGCUUUAAUUAUUAGAUUUUUAUACUGCUUCAGAUAACUCUCAGGUAAGCUUGGAACAGAAGAGAUCAACGCAGUGCGAUACUGAGGAGUUUCAUUACCAUCAUCCUUUUAUAGAUAAAAUGCUCCAGUGCUUAGUCAAUUAUAUUUUCUGGUAUUUUCUGUAUAAUUACUUUGAUUUUCACCAAAUUCUUAUUGAUCUUGGUUGAUUUGUUGUUUACAUUAAUUAAUUAGUUUAGUAGGAUUUUAUUUAUUUUUCUUUUUUUAUUAUUUAUAUUUCUUCAAAUGUUUUCUUUUUAGUUGUCAUUUUCUUUUAAGUGUGUUCUCUCCAACAUUUUCUUCUAUUAUUUACGUUUUUUAAUCUUUUUGCAUGCAUGUCUUUUAUUUAUGAAUCAUUGAGGACAAUGUUCCGAAUAAGUUUGGGGGUGAGAAUAGUGUGUGUUUUGUUUGUUAUUAAAAAAACCAAAAAAAAUUCAAAAAUUAAAAAAAAAAAUUCUUUUUGUUUUUAUGUGAAAAGCCAAUGAUAAGAAUUUGAUUGACAAUGAAUAUGAUUCUUAGAAAAAGUUGAAUAUUGUCUUAGUUUAUACUUGGUUUUUGUGUUAAUUCCUCUUGAUUGAGAUUCUAUAAACACCAUAAGCACUAACAUCAAUUCUUUCAUAAUUUUAACUUGAAAUUUGAUAUUGACGCAGCCUAAGUUGAUAAUUUUAGAGAGAGUAAAUGACUAUUUGUCUCGAUUCUUAUCUCCAUAGUACAAAAUAGUAUACACAGACGCCUGGUUGUUGAUAUUGAAGAUUUUGGAAAUGGAUUUGAUUGAAUUGAUUUCACACACACACUACAAGAAUUAAAAGAGAGAUAGGAUUAACUGUUGAAUUAAAGUUAGAACUUUGCCAAUAUUUGAAAUUUUCUUUGAGCUAUAUAAUUUAUGCAAUCUUUGAGGCUAUCUUCAUGUUUUGUUUAAAGUUUAUUGUUCUUUUCAUUUUAUUUUAAUUUUUUUAAAAAAAUAAUGUUUGUGAGUAUCAUCACUAAAGCUCUCACGAGACUAUAACUCAUCCACUAGGACUGCCUAAGGGUUUAAAGGCUUAUUACAUACACUAAAUGCAAUCGCGAUUACCUGUGAAAGUGGUUUAGUUAGGAUUUACUUUUUAUUUUCGUUACUUUUAUUUUUAUUUUUUUGUUUUAUGUUUUGCUCGAGAACUAGCAAAAUCUAAGUUUGGGGGUAUUUGAUGGGCAUAAUUUAUAUACAUAUUGUACCAUUAAUUAUAUAAUUAUUAGUUUUUUUUAUUUUUUUAUUUUUAAUUAAUUAAAUUAUUUUGUUGAAUAGGAAAUUAAUUGAAGAUCAAAGAUAAAAAAGGUAAUGAGGAAGUUCAAAUUGGGAAGGAAUAAAGAUUAAAUUGAAAGAUAAAAAUGCAGCUAAGAAUUAAUGAAAGUCAAAAAGACCAAAAUUGGAAUUCAAUCUCUUCAAAUAAUGAAUGGUGGGUGUGCAGUUGGACAGCAAAGAUUUGGUAAUUUGGAAUGCAUGUGCAGGGCAUUAAAAGAAGAAAUUAUUAAUUGGCCUUUUGCUUUUAAGUUAACGUGUGGCUAGCUUUCAAACCUUAAUAAGGAAACAAUUUAAAAAGGGCUUGGUGAGUGGGCUUUGUUAGGUCGGUGGGUGGCUAAGCAUUAUAAAAAGCCGACUUUGGCUUUUGAAAGAGCAGCCACCAGAGGAGAAGCCGCAAGACAGGAAGAAGAAAAGGAGUAGCAGCAAAUCAAUUUUUCCAUAACUGGUUUUAUUUUAUUUGUUACUCCCAGUGUAAGUAUGUGUAGCUAAUUUUCUUAUACUAAUGUUAAAGAUGAAGCCCUAUCCAAUGAAAUAAUUAUCUUUUAAUUAAUUCCAUAUCUAUGUUCUUUGAUGAUUAUGGUUUUUGUUUCACAUGAUUAGUUGGAUGUUAGUAAAUUCUUUUCACCAAUUCUGUCAUGCAUUAUUGAUUAAUAUUUGACUAAAUCUAUGCUUGGAUCAAUGAAGUCUAUACAUGAUUAUCUUUGAUUCUGUGUCUUUCACUAAAUUUUUACACAGAGUGCUUAGGAAACUUUGACUCUUUGUUAUUCAAUAUGUUUACAUGGGAUGCUUAGAUAUCAUACUACUAAACAGAAAAAGAACCUACAUUAGAUUUAAUUACUUGGGCUUAAUUGUUAUAUUUAUGAGAUGACAUAGAUUGAUUUCAAGUUGUCACUCUAAAAUUGAGGAUUAAUUAAUAAUUAGAUAAUUACUAGUUGAAUCGUGGUGGAUUUUGAAGUCUUGGUAAUUUUUCUCUUAUUAAAUUCUCAUUUGCUUUAAUUGUUUCCUUAGUUUAAUUAGUUUUAUCAUCGACAUCAUCGAGUGAGCAUUCAACAAUACCAUAGCUAGCCAGAAGCCCGAGUAUCCGGUCCAGCAUCGUGGGUGCGUCUUUGUUCUUGGUGGCAGGCAACUGAGCGGCAAUCUCUGACGCUGAGAGCUUUGCUCCAGGACCAGCUUUGGCUAUGAUCUCCAAAAGUCCCAGCUUAAUUACUGCUUUCAUGGUCAUGUGGAGCACUGAACCCGUCAUCACUUCACAGGCAUAUGCAAAGUUUUCGUCUCUCGCUUCAUUAGCCAUAUUUUCUUGAAUUUCCUUAUCUGUUUUCCUCAGAAACAAUGCAUUUAUAGUGGAGUGAAGAGUUACUGUGUGUCCAAGAUUUUAGGUUGUAAAAUCUGACCCCGAAGUUUUCGAUAGUUCAAGUUACUGCUGUACCGUACAUCCGCCUUGGCCGUACAGCAGGUUCAGAAGAAGUGAAUCAACUUGUUAUGCCUUUUAAUGCAAAUGUGAAGACUAUGAUUAACAAUCUUAAUGCCAAUCUUCCUGGUGCAAGAUUCACCUUCAUUGACAUUGCCCGCAUGUUUGAAGAUCUCCUCACCAAUUAUAGAUCAUACGGUAUGCAAUUUUCCCACUAAACAUAUCGUAUUGUAGUUAGAUAUGAUGUGUGCUGUCUAGCCUAAAAUCUUUUAUUUUAAAAUGUGC
rnacentral:lncRNA from 1 species